rnacentral:rRNA from 1 species
GAUUAACGCUAGCGGCAGGCCUAAUACAUGCAAGUUGUACGGGAUUAUUGGUAGCAAUACUGAUAUGAGAGUAGCGCACGGGUGCGUAACACGUAUGCAACCUACCUUUAACUGGGGAAUAGCCUUCCGAAAGGAAGAUUAAUACCGCAUAACAUUGCGAAACGACAUCGUUUUGCAAUUAAACCUACGGGGGUUANAGAUGGGCAUGCGUCCGAUUAGCUA